GUAGUAUUCCCUUCGUCCCAAAAUCCUUGUCUUACAUUUGUUUAGAUACAGAUGUAUCUAACACUAAAAUGUAACUAGAUACAUCCGUAUUUAGAAAAAUUUAAGACAAGAAUUUUGGGACGGAGGGAGUACAAA
rnacentral:pre_miRNA from 1 species